UGGGGAAUUUUGGACAAUGGGCGCAAGCCUGAUCCAGCCAUGCCGCGUGUCUGAAGAAGGCCUUCGGGUUGUAAAGGACUUUUGUCAGGGAAGAAAAGGGCGGGGUUAAUACCCCUGUCUGAUGACGGUACCUGAAGAAUAAGCACCGGCUAACUACGUGCCAGCAGCCGCGGUAAUACGUAGGGUGCGAGCGUUAAUCGGAAUUACUGGGCGUAAAGCGGGCGCAGACGGUUACUUAAGCAGGAUGUGAAAUCCCCGGGCUCAACCUGGGAACUGCGUUCUGAACUGGGUGACUAGAGUGUGUCAGAGGGAGGUAGAAUUCCGCGUGUAGCAGUGAAAUGCGUAGAGAUGUGGAGGAAUACCGAUGGCGAAGGCAACCUCCUGGGAUAACACUGACGUUCAUGCCCGAAAGCGUGGGUAGCAAACA
rnacentral:rRNA from 1 species